rnacentral:rRNA from 1 species
CCCUUAGAUGUUCUGGGCCGCACGCGCGCUACACUGAUGCAUUCAACGAGUUUCUUCCUGGUCCGAGAGGAAUGGGUAACCUUUUGAAAGUGCAUCGUGAUAGGGAUAGAAUAUUGCAAUUAUUGGUCUUCAACGAGGAAUUCCUAGUAGACGUAGUUCAUCAGACUGCAUCGAUUACGUCCCUGCCCUUUGUACACACCGCCCGUCGCUCCUACCGAUUGAAUGCUCAGGUGAGCCAUUCGGACUUUCAUCAUGCUGGUUUCCAGUUUUGAUGAAGGAAAGUCUUGCGAACCUUAUCAUUUAGAGGAAGGAGAAGUCGUAACA